rnacentral:rRNA from 1 species
GACAGCCAUACCACCGUCAACACGUCCGAUCUCAUCUAAUCUAUGAAGCUAACCAGGGUGGGGCCUGGUUAGUACUCGGAUGGAGGACCGCACGGCAAUACAGGGUGCCUUAGGCU